UACGUAGGGGGGCAAGCGUUGUCCGGAUUUAUUGGGCGUAAAGCGCACGUAGGCGGCUUAGCAAGUCGGAUGUGAAAGCCCUCGGCUCAACCAAGGAAGUGCAUCCGAAACUGCUGAGCUUGAGUACUUAAGAGGAUCGCGGAAUUCCCGGUGUAGAGGUGAAAUUCGUAGAUAUCGGGGAGGAACACCAGUGGCGAAGGCGGCGAUCUGGGAAGAUACUGACGCUGAGGUGCGAAAAGCGUGGGGGAGCAAAACAGG
rnacentral:rRNA from 1 species